GCAGACUUCGCCAAGCAAACGCUGCAAAGGCUUUCAUCAAAGGAUUAUAGAAUAUUUCAUCAAGUUGAUUAACAAGAAACAUGGAAAGAACAUCAGCAACCACAAUAGACCACUUGGAAAACUGAGGGAAGCUGAACGUGCCAAAAGAGCUUUAAGCAGCCAGCAGCAAGUUAGGACUCAUGCUUGAUUUGACGAGUUGAACAAUGACCUCUUUAGCAAAAACAUGGGACUUGUCAAGAAGGCUAUGGGGGAUGCUGGUUUGGAGAACCACCAGAUGCAUGAAAUUGUUCCUGUUAGUGGGGCUACCAGGAUCCCAAAAGUCCAAUAACUUCUCAAGGACUACUUUGAUGGAAAGGAACCCAACAAGAGUGUAAAACCAGAUGAAGCAGUGGCUUAUGGGGGUGGUGUUCAAGGAGGUAUUCUAAGCCGGAAAGGUGGUGAUGAAAGCAAAGAUAAAUGCUAUUCAUACUAGCUUUUGGAAGAUAUCUAUGG